GACUCCGGCCGUCACGAUGACGAGGACAACGGUAGAUGAGUUGGUCUUCUUUGUGAAUGGCAAAAAGGUGGUGGAGAAAAAUGCAGACCCUGAAACAACACUUCUGGUCUACCUUAGAAGAAAGUUGGGGCUGUGCGGGACCAAGCUUGGCUGUGGAGAAGGUGGCUGUGGGGCAUGCACCGUGAUGAUCUCCAAGUAUGACCGCCUUCAGAACAAGAUCGUUCAUUUUUCCGUCAAUGCCUGCUUGACCCCCAUCUGCUCCUUGCAUCAUGUUGCUGUGACAACUGUGGAAGGCAUAGGAAACACCAAGAAGCUGCAUCCUGUCCAGGAGAGAAUUGCCAAAAGCCAUGGUUCCCAGUGUGGGUUCUGUACCCCUGGUAUUGUCAUGAGUAUGUACACACUGCUCCGAAACAAGCCUGAGCCUACUGUCGAGGAGAUCGAGAAUGCCUUCCAAGGAAACCUCUGCCGCUGUACAGGCUAUAGACCCAUCCUCCAGGGAUUCCGGACCUUUGCCAAGGAUGGUGGGUGCUGUGGAGGAAGUGGAAACAACCCAAACUGCUGCAUGAGCCAAACAAAGGACCAGACGAUUGCUCCCUCAUCUUCUUUAUUCAACCCGGAGGAUUUCAAACCUUUAGAUCCCACCCAAGAGCCCAUCUUUCCCCCAGAGUUGCUGAGGCUGAAAGACACUCCCCGGAAGACGUUGCGUUUUGAAGGGGAACGUGUGACCUGGAUCCAGGUUUCAACCAUGGAGGAACUGCUUGACCUCAAAGCCCAGCACCCUGAUGCCAAGCUGGUGGUGGGAAACACAGAGAUAGGCAUUGAAAUGAAAUUUAAAAAUAUGCUAUUUCCUCUGAUCAUCUGCCCAGCCUGGAUCCUUGAACUGACCUCAGUGGCACAUGGGCCUGAGGGAAUCUCCUUUGGAGCCGCUUGCCCCCUUAGCUUGGUGGAAAGUGUCCUGGCGGACGCGAUUGCUACACUUCCAGAGCAGAGGACAGAGGUGUUCAGAGGCGUGAUGGAGCAGCUGCGCUGGUUUGCUGGCAAGCAGGUCAAGUCCGUGGCGUCCAUUGGCGGGAACAUCAUCACCGCGAGCCCCAUCUCUGACCUCAACCCUGUGCUCAUGGCCAGUCGAGCCAAGCUGACCCUCGCAUCUAGAGGUACCAAGAGAACGGUCUGGAUGGACCAUACCUUCUUCCCUGGCUAUAGAAGGACUCUGCUCAGUCCAGAGGAGAUAUUGGUGUCCAUUGUGAUCCCCUACAGCAGGAAGGGUGAGUUUUUCUCAGCCUUCAAGCAGGCCUCCAGGAGAGAAGAUGACAUUGCCAAGGUGACCAGUGGCAUGAGAGUCCUGUUCAAGCCAGGGACCACUGAAGUGCAGGAACUGUCCCUUUGCUUUGGAGGGAUGGCUGACAGAACUGUCUCAGCCCUCAAGACCACUCCGAAGCAGCUGUCCAAGUCCUGGAAUGAGGAGUUGCUGCAGGAUGUGUGUGCUGGCUUGGCAGAGGAGCUGCACCUGGCCCCCGACGCCCCUGGUGGGAUGGUGGAAUUCCGGCGCACCCUCACCCUCAGCUUCUUCUUCAAGUUCUACCUGACAGUGCUUCAGAAGCUGGGCAGAGCGGACCUUGAGGGUAUGUGUGGUAAACUGGACCCCACCUUUGCCAGCGCCACCCUGCUCUUUCAGAAGGAUCCUCCAGCUAACGUCCAGCUUUUCCAAGAGGUGCCCAAGGGUCAGUCUGAGGAGGACAUGGUGGGCAGGCCCAUGCCUCACCUGGCAGCAGACAUGCAGGCAUCCGGGGAGGCUGUGUACUGUGAUGACAUUCCCCGCUAUGAGAAUGAGCUGUCCCUCAGGCUGGUCACCAGCACGCGGGCCCAUGCUAAAAUCAUGUCCAUCGACACUUCAGAAGCCAAGAAGGUGCCAGGGUUUGUUUGUUUCCUCACCUCAGAGGAUGUCCCUGGUAGUAACAUAACUGGCAUUUUCAAUGAUGAAACUGUCUUUGCGAAGGAUGAGGUUACUUGUGUUGGGCACAUCAUUGGUGCUGUGGUCGCUGACACCCCAGAACAUGCACACAGAGCCGCUAGAGGGGUGAAAAUCACCUAUGAAGACCUUCCAGCCAUUAUCACAAUCCAGGAUGCUAUAAAGAACAACUCCUUUUAUGGCCCCGAGGUAAAAAUCGAGAAAGGAGAUCUCAAGAAAGGCUUUUCUGAAGCUGACAAUGUUGUCUCAGGAGAAUUAUAUAUUGGUGGCCAGGAGCACUUCUAUCUGGAGACCCACUGCACCAUUGCCGUGCCGAAAGGCGAGGCAGGCGAGAUGGAGCUCUUCGUGAGCACACAGAACACCAUGAAAACCCAGAGCUUUAUUGCAAAGAUGUUGGGUGUUCCAGACAACAGAAUUGUAGUCCGAGUGAAAAGAAUGGGUGGAGGCUUUGGAGGGAAGGAGACCCGGAGCACUCUGAUAUCCACAGCAGUGGCCUUGGCUGCAUACAAGACAGGCCGCCCUGUACGUUGCAUGCUGGACCGAGACGAGGACAUGCUCAUAACUGGUGGCAGACAUCCCUUCCUGGCUAAAUACAAGGUGGGCUUCAUGAAGACUGGGACUAUAGUGGCACUGGAGGUGGCUCACUUCAGCAAUGGCGGGAACAGUGAGGAUCUCUCUCGGAGUAUAAUGGAAAGAGCUGUAUUCCACAUGGACAACGCCUAUAAGAUCCCCAACAUUCGCGGCACCGGGAGGAUUUGUAAGACUAAUCUGCCCUCUAACACAGCCUUCAGAGGCUUUGGGGGUCCUCAGGGGAUGCUAAUCGCAGAAUACUGGAUGAGUGAGGUCGCUGUCACCUGUGGGCUGCCUGCAGAGGAGGUACGGAGGAAAAACAUGUACAAAGAAGGGGACCUGACUCACUUCAACCAGAAGCUGGAGGGGUUCACCUUGCCCAGGUGCUGGGAUGAGUGCAUAGCGAGCUCCCAGUAUCAGGCUCGCAAGAUGGAAGUGGAGAAAUUCAACAGGGAGAACUGUUGGAAAAAGAGAGGGCUGUGUAUAAUCCCGACUAAGUUUGGAAUAAGCUUCACACUUUCUUUUCUGAACCAGGGGGGUGCCUUGGUCCACGUGUACACGGAUGGGUCGGUGCUGCUGACACAUGGAGGUACUGAGAUGGGUCAAGGCCUUCACACCAAGAUGGUUCAGGUGGCCAGCAGAGCUCUGAAAAUCCCCACUUCCAAGAUCCAUAUAACGGAGACAAGCACUAACACUGUCCCUAACACCUCUCCCACGGCUGCCUCUGCCAGCGCUGACCUCAAUGGCCAGGCCAUUUAUGAAGCCUGUCAGACCAUACUGAAAAGACUGGAGCCCUUCAAGAAAAAGAAUCCCUCAGGCUCCUGGGAGAGCUGGGUCAUGGAUGCCUACACUAGUGCAGUGAGCUUGUCUGCUACUGGAUUUUAUAAGACACCCAACCUUGGUUACAGCUUUGAGACAAACUCUGGGAACCCCUUCCACUACUUCAGUUAUGGGGUGGCUUGCUCAGAAGUAGAAAUUGACUGCUUAACAGGGGACCAUAAGAAUCUCCGUACAGAUAUCGUCAUGGAUGUUGGUUCCAGCUUGAAUCCUGCCAUUGAUAUCGGACAGGUAGAAGGGGCAUUUGUCCAGGGUCUUGGUCUUUUCACCAUGGAGGAGCUGCACUACUCUCCCGAGGGGAGCCUGCACACUCGUGGCCCCAGUACCUACAAGAUCCCUGCAUUUGGCAGCAUCCCCAUUGAGUUCAGAGUAUCCCUGCUCCGCGACUGCCCCAACAAGAGGGCCAUCUAUGCAUCCAAGAAGGAUCCUGUAGCAGCGUCGUUCUUCCUGGCCUGUUGAGCGCGCGCGACAGUUGGUGCCGAAACCCGGGACGAGAAGACCUGGGACGAGAAAACCCGGGAAAAGAAACAUCUUCAGGCAUGAGUGAAGACCCCCUGCUACAGGGAGGAUUCAGAACUGCAUAACGGGGAAGAAGGGGUUAAUAAAGGUUCCCGUAAAACAGACUGUUGAGAAGGAUCCGGCGUGGAUUCAGAACUCUUCAGCUGGGGAAAGGUACUGAUGAAGAGAAAGAAGAAAGAUGAAGACUGAAUAAACUGCUGUUAGAAGGACUGGUGGUCGCGUCGUUCUUGCUGGUCGAGAGCGGGCGUGACAAUUGGUGGCCCGUACGGGGAACCGACUCCCCCACCGAGUUCAGAACUUUCAGCAGUCAGUGGUUGCCGGCAGGGUAAGUUCACGGUGAGUGAAACUUGUGACCCCAGGAGUUUGGGAAGGACCUCGGAUAAAAUAGAGGUGAGCAUAAAGUUGCCAGGAAGUAGGCACAAAGUAACCCAGGAGUUUGGGAAGGACCUUGGAUAAAAUAGAGGUAAGCAUUAAGUUGCCAGGAAGCAGGCACAAGGUAACGAAAGGUUCCUGGCUUUGGGACAAGUUAAGGUUCCCGGUUUGGGGACAAGUUAAGGAACUAUGAUAACCUCAGUGUAGUGAUCAAUAGAUCCUCGCUGUGUAGUUAUGCUUUUUUCUCCCGUUGACCCUUUGUGGGUAGGUCUGAUAGUUUUGGUCUUGCUUGUUCUGAUAUAUGGACUCUGUUACUGUUUGAAACUGUGUGUAGAGGCAGUCAAGACAGGUCAGAAAAUCCUUACAGAGCAACAAGAAAGUAUGUCGGAAGAGGAAAAGGGCUUAAAAAGAAAAAGGAAAAAGAAAGGAGACACAGUGUUAUCAGGUGGACAGAAAGGACAAAAUAAAAGAGUUGAGGCAGAGGAGGAAGGCGAAUUAGCUUUUGCUCCCCCUCCCUAUGCCUCCUCGUCAGCCAUCUAUGGGCAGACCUUCUGUCCGGAGGUCUGGAAAGAGGAUAGAUUCUCCUUGCUGGGAUGUCCUAUUUUCACUGAUCAAGCUGAAUUUGCAUGGGAUAGAGAUAUGCUGCUUGAUCAAGGUCGAUUUGCACAACAACAGUCAGGAUAUCCAGUGCAGGUGUUUAAGCAGGUAAAUCAGAUUGCCAUAAGGGCACAGAAAUCAUUGCCCAACAGGGGGGAAGCUAAUGAAAACUUGACUCUCAUAUUGACUCCCCAGAUGGACACACAGGUGAUUGAGGUUAUGGUCUCAUCACCACGAGGUAUUGUGUCCAUCCCCCCUGGGGAUCGAGUAGAUCAGGUGUUGAUGUGGGCGAGAGGGUCUGUUUGUGUGUUUCCACAGGACCAGACAGAACCUCUUUGGGUGCCGGAGAGAUUGAUGAGACGCUGCAAGAAUGAGGCUCCUGAUCCAGUUGCCCCUGUGGAUGUGGUGGAUGAUCCCACAAGCACAAAGGAUGGAGCCGAGAUGAGAGAUCCUUUCGGCUGUCGGCGAGCCACCUCUUUUCCUGGCUUCUUCGAUCUUCUUUGCCAUCAAAGAUGCCAUCCGCGCAGCUCGAGCUCAGCACGGAGACAGUAACGCCAAACAGCUCUUCCAGCUAGACAGCCCCGCCACUCCGGAGAAGAUCCGAAACGCUUGUGUGGAUCAGUUCACCACCCUGUGUGCCACUGGAACACCAGAAAACUGUAAAUCCUGGUCCGUGAGGAUCUGAAAAGGAGGCUCCCCAGUAUGGUUUUAUACUACAGCCCUGAUUCCUCGGAAUGUCAAGUGCAUACCGUAGUAUCCAGAUUUCCACACAUCCCAUGGGGACUCAGCAGGAUGGCAUUUUCAAGAAAAUGGACAAUUGUGAUCCAAAUCAUGAGUUGCAAACAAACCAAUAAGCAAACGGGGAGCUGCUGGCCCAAGUGGCAGUUUUGAGUAAUUCUGGGUAAUUCUGAGUCCAUUUUUGAUCACAUAUUUGAAAUGAGGUUAGCAAGGGUUUGCAUUAUGUCCCUACUCGCCACAUGGCCUGUGUAACUAAGAUUCUCACACACCUCCUGACGCUGAAACCAACGUUUCUCUAGAUCUGCAUGCUUUCUUCAGAGAGCUUAUAUCUGCCAAGCCACCAAGGGCCGUGUUGUAACCGCAGCUGCACACUCAUAGUCUUCAGUGGAAUAGUGUGUGUGUGUGUGUGGGGGGGGGGGAUUAAAACCUCCAACUGCCUUUACAUCA